CUUAGAUUGAAGAUUGUUUUGUAAACUUCUAAGUUUAGAUACUUUAUUCCUUGGAAACUAUGACAGAUACCGGAACCAGUGGGCAACAGUGAAAUCAUCAAUCAGGUAUUAACCUAACAGCCAUCAGGGACUGGUUCCGUGACUGUAAGAUUCCUGAUGGCAAGCCCGCUAACAAGUUUGGUCUCUGCAACAAGCCGGCAAACAAGGAUUAUUCUUUGAAGGUAAUAACAGAGACCAACGAGUCAGCCCGUCAAGAGAUCCUACCUUCUGGAGAGUUAUCUUUCGUGUAAAAUUGAGACUGUUAAGAGCACCCAUCUCGUCAAGAGAAACAUAGCCUAUUCCUCUCCUGGUGAGCUCAUCUCAGUACUGCAUCAAUUAGUGGGCAUGUGGAGCUAAGAUUUAUUUUGUUUUUUCUUCUCAUUAUAGAGCUGUACAUGACACUGAUGUAGCUUGUCUAUGUUAAGGAUGGACAACGGUUGGUUGUGUCUAUCAUUCCGGUGAAUCAUUGAAGUACUAUUAGAGGAUUGAAGUGAAAAAAGGAAAAUGAUUGCAUUCUACUAUUUGCAUUCCCGUAUAACACAUCCAUUGUCAUCCCAUGAUUCUUCAACUGAUACAAAAGCAGACACACAUGCACACGUGCAUGGAGAUGUAUAUAUUUCCUAGCAGCAGCUGAGUUGUAGAGCUUCUUCAAACCUUCUCUGGGGUUGGGUAGUUGAAUAUGGGACUGAAAGGUCAGCCUAGAGGCCCUGCUGCUUCUCAGUCUUGCCCGUGUCCCACUUUCCUUCAACAAAGGAUUCUGCAAACACCUCAAUUUUGGGUGAUGUUGAUUCUUUUGAGGAUGAACUCUUUGCGAGGAGGAUGUAGGUCUCAAUUGGAAGGGAAGAAUCAACGUUUGCUGCACUUGGAGCCAUUGAUGGACUCUCUGAAGAUUGAAGUAUGAAAUUGGAGAAAUUGUAAUUGUGCAGAGAGAGAGGAGGGUAGUUUGAUGAAAACAGAGGUCUGCUUCUAAGUUGAAUACAGCCUCCGUGCUUGUAAUUCCACCCGAGAUCUGAAUGACAUGAGGAGCAGCAGCCAGCGGCUGGUCUGGAGUUUCUGUAUGG